rnacentral:tRNA from 1 species
GGUUCUGUAGUUUAUAAUAAAUAGUGAGUUGCAACCUCAAAGAAGGGUAGAUUUCUAUCUCAGAAUCU